CCCAUCUCCUCACCCCUCACCCACUGCCCAGCGCACCCCAACGAGCUUCACCUCAUCACUUCCCCAGAACAGUUCCUGCUAAGCUCACCAGUCACUUCCCCCUCUGUGGCUAAAUGGAGGUGAUGUGUUUAGUCGUCGCCAUACAGGAAUCCCAGCAGUAUGACACGGCCCACGUCUUCUGCCCGGCGAUUAACUGAUGGCAUUCUUUAAGACUUGAUCCUGGGUCCUCCUCAUGCCACACUCCCUCCUUCGGCAAAUCUCAUCCACACUUGGCUUGAAUUACCACUCAUCUAAACGUGGUUCAUUAAUUUAUGUUUCCUACCAGCUCCAGAUCCACGUGUUCAAAUAUCACUCAUGUGACAUCUAUUGGAUGUCUCAAAGGUACCUCAAGGGUUUCCCUGGUGGCACAGUGGUUGAGAGUCAGCCUGCCGAUGCAGGGGACAUGGGUUCGUGCCCCGGUCCGGGAAGAUCCCGCAUGCCACGGAGUGGCUGGGCCCGUGAGCCAUGGCUGCUGAGCCUGCGCGUCCGGAGCCUGUGCUCCGCAACGGGAGAGGCCACAACAGUGAGAGGCCUGCGUACAGCAAAAAAAAAAAAAACAAAAAAAAAAGUACCUCAAACUCAACAUGUCCCAACCAAAAUCAUUUUCUCGACUCCUCACCGUAUCCCCUUCGAUAUCUCCUUCCAGGAUUGACACCUCCCUGUGUCCCUACCCCAGAAUCCCUCUUGGGAAGAUAGCCUCCAAGGUGGCUUCCACAAUCCCCGUCUCCUCGUAUUCAGCUCUUGUGUGGUCACCUUCUUUUGAACGUGGCUGGUGUGACUUGCUCUGGUCAAUAGAGUCCAGCAAAAGUGUCAGGAGAUACUGAAACCUACACCAAGUGGAAGAAGUUAACUGUAUGCUGCCCACAAGCACGUAGACCCCAAACCAGUUAGAACCAGAAGGUUGAUGGUGCUGAUUCCCAAUUACCUCACCACCAACCAAUCAGAAGAAUGUCCAUGAGCUGACCACGCCCUGUUCCUUGAACUCUGUAAGACUCCUCACUCCCCCCUCCAGGGAGGGACACACAGUCUUGAGGGAAGUAGCCUG